UACAGAGGGGGCAAGCGUUGUUCGGAAUUACUGGGCGUAAAGGGCGCGUAGGCGGCCUGUUAAGUCGAACGUGAAAUCCCCGGGCUCAACCCGGGAACUGCGUCCGAUACUGGCAGGCUUGAAUCCGGGAGAGGGAUGUGGAAUUCCAGGUGUAGCGGUGAAAUGCGUAGAUAUCUGGAGGAACACCGGUGGCGGAAGGCGACGAUCCUGG
rnacentral:rRNA from 1 species